rnacentral:rRNA from 1 species
GACGAAGGGGGCUAGCGUUGUUCGGAAUUACUGGGCGUAAAGCGAGUGUAGGUGGUUGUCACAGUCAGGUGUGAAAGCCUUGAGCUCAACUCAAGAAAUGCACUUGAUACUAGGCGACUAGAGGACCGGAGAGGAUAGUGGAAUUCCCAGUGUAGUGGUGAAAUACGUAGAGAUUGGGAAGAACACCAGUGGCGAAGGCGGCUAUCUGGACGGUUUCUGACACUAAGACUCGAAAGCGUGGGGAGCGAACAGG